AUUGAACGCUGGCGGCAUGCUUUACACAUGCAAGUCGAACGGUAACAGGCCGCAAGGUGCUGACGAGUGGCGAGCGGGUGAGUAAUGCAUCGGAACGUGCCCAGUCGUGGGGGAUAACGCAGCGAAAGCUGUGCUAAUACCGCAUACGAUCUAUGGAUGAAAGCGGGGGACCGUAAGGCCUCGCGCGAUUGGAGCGGCCGAUGUCAGAUUAGGUAGUUGGUGGGGUAAAGGCUCACCAAGCCAACGAUCUGUAGCUGGUCUGAGAGGACGACCAGCCACACUGGGACUGGGACACGGCCCAGACUCCUACGGGAGGCAGCAGUGGGGAAUUUUGGACAAUGGGCGCAAGCCUGAUCCAGCAAUGCCGCGUGCAGGAAGAAGGCCUUCGGGUUGUAAACUGCUUUUGUACGGAACGAAAAGGUUUGGGUUAAUACCCUGGGCCGAUGACGGUACCGUAAGAAUAAGCACCGGCUAACUACGUGCCAGCCGCCGCGGUAA
rnacentral:rRNA from 1 species